rnacentral:rRNA from 1 species
UACGUAGGGACCAAGCGUUGUUCGGAUUUACUGGGCGUAAAGGGCGCGUAGGCGGCAAUUCAAGUCAUCUGUGAAAUCUCCGGGCUUAACUCGGAACGGUCAGAUGAUACUGCUUUGCUAGAGUGCAGAAGGGGCAAUCGGAAUUCUUGGUGUAGCGGUGAAAUGCGUAGAUAUCAAGAGGAACACCAAUGGCGAAGGCAGCUCGCUGGGACGUGACUGACGCUGAGACGCGAAAGCGUGGGGAGCAAACAGG